rnacentral:rRNA from 1 species
AUGAACGCUAGCGACAGGCCUAACACAUGCAAGUCAGGGGCAGCACAAGGAGCAAUCUGAGGUGGCGACCGGCGCACGGGUGAGUAACACGUAUGCAACCUGCCUGUAAGCGGGGAAUAACCCGUUGAAAGACGGACUAAUACCGCAUAAUACUAAAUUACUGCAUGGUAAUUAUUUAAACAUUUAUGGCUUACAGAUGGGCAUGCGCAUGAUUAGCUAGUUGGAGAGGUAACGGCUCUCCAAGGCAACGAUCAUUAGGGGUUCUGAGAGGAAGGUCCCCCACACUGGUACUGAGACACGGACCAGACUCCUACGGGGGCAGCAGUGAGGAAUAUUGGUCAAUGGACGAGAGUCUGAACCAGCCAAGUCGCGUGCAGGAAGAAUGUCCUAAUGGAUUGUAAACUGCUUUUGCAGGGGAAUAAAGUGCAUCACGUGUGAUGUUUUGUAUGUACUCUGCGAAUAAGGAUCGGCUAACUCCGUGCCAGCAGCGGC